rnacentral:lncRNA from 1 species
AGCCUGGAACUCCUGCUCCCGUCCAAAGAAUCAGGCCCUGUGGGUGGGAAGGAAACAGAGGAACAGGCCAGGACAAUCACCUUACAGAAAAUGGGCAGAAAUUGUACACAUGACUUCUGUUUAUGUUUCAUUGGUGAGAACUUUGUCACGUAACCACAGCAAACCUCAAGGGAACCUGGGAAAUUUAGUUUUCAGUUGAAUUGCCAUGUGUCCAGGAAGAAAAGCAGAAUGAAUUUUGGGGACAACCAGUAGUCUGUCACAUCUCAUUUGGACAGAUUUUUUUUUUUUUAAUGCAGGAAGGAAAUACUGUGGCUAUCUCUAAGUUAAUACGGUUUGUAAAGACUGUUUCCUCUACACUUUCUGAAUUACCUAAACUUUGUGCAGUGAUCAUCUAUUUCUUUCAUAACCAGAAAGGAGCACGUGCCAAGCGACCGAAGAGUUGAGGCUACCUUCUGACUCUACAGCUUGUGGUUGUGAACCAACAUUACACAUCUCCCCAUACUGUCAGAAACUGUAUCAGCAGUCCUCAGAGCUGGAAACAGCAGUCACAGAAUGAGACACUUUCCAGAAAAAGAGCCAAAACCCUUUGGACUCCUUUGCUCCAGGAUGUGUUUCCUUCCUGAUUUUGUUUUUCAAAAAGUAUAAGCUCCUUGAAGGUCCUACAGAAGCAAUGCAGAUUGAGAUGAAGGCCUGCACGAGCAGUGGUUUGCAUUUCAGGAAAAGGACUUUGAAUUUAGGGAACUUGAAUCUUUUAUACUGGACAGCCAGCAUGCCCUGCCUUUGCACCAAAGGGAGACACUAUCUCUGUCUUCAAAGACUGUUUGCUGUACAAACUUCAUCAAAGACAUUCUUGGGCAACAGAUAGUCGAUGUCUCUGCUCCUAAGAUAUGCAGAAAUGUGACAGAUGCGUGGAAAAGUUCUCCCAGCAGUGCUAAGCCUGCUGUAGCACUUUAAAAAGCUAAAGAAGUAAGACCUCAGCCCUCCAGAAUUCAGUGGAAGAUCAACUAGCUGAUGUGGAACUACAAGCAAAACAUUUCACUUUUCAGUGCUUUUCUUUCUGUGAUUACAAAAUAGGAAUGAUAUCUGCCCACUCACUGCUUAUUUUGAGAAAUAAAGGAAAAAGAACAGUCUGACAAAUGCUUUGAGUUUCAUGAUGGACACUAAAAUAGGAGAACAUCAUAUAAAGACAUACUGGGUCCUAAUCACACUUUUAUUCUCCAAUGACUUUGGGGAAAGUAUGACAAAUUUACAUAUAUUUUAUUCUGAUAAGGUGGAAAUACUGUGGUUUUUUUUUUGUAAGUGCUGAACAUGAGUUUAAGCCCUUAGUUUUGUCAAACUAUAAAGCUGACUAAAUAUGUUUAAACACUAUUUUUAUUGAAACUGCUGUUUAGAUUUCUUAAGAAAUCAAAUAGGUUUGCUG